GACGAACGCUGGCGGCGUGCCUAAUACAUGCAAGUCGAACGCAGGGGGGACGGGUGAGUAACACGUUGGUAACCUCCCAUCAGAGGGGAUAACACGUGGAAACAGGUGCUAAACCGAUACUGGUGGAUGGACCCGCGGUGCAUUAGCUAGUUGGUGGGGUAACGGCUCACCAAGGCCACGAUGCAUAACGGACCGGGGGGGGUGAUCGGCAACAGUGGGACUGUGACCCGGCCAGAAUGCCACGGGAGGGCAGCGUUGGGGAACUUUCGGCAAUGGAGGAAAGCCUGACCGGGAAAGGCGGCGGGAGUAAGACAGGUUUCCGGUUCGAAAACCUCUGUUGUCAGAGCAGCGGUAUCUGACCAGAAAGCCACGGCUAACUACGUGCCAGCAGCCGCGGUAAUUC
rnacentral:rRNA from 1 species